rnacentral:rRNA from 1 species
UGGGGAAUCUUGCGCAAUGGCCGAAAGGCUGACGCAGCGACGCCGCGUGUGGGAGGACGCCCUUCGGGGUGUAAACCACUGUUGCCCGGGACGAAACUCCUUUUUCGAGAGGACUGACGGUACCGGGUGAGGAAGCACCGGCUAACUCCGUGCCAGCAGCCGCGGUAAUACGGAGGGUGCGAGCGUUGUCCGGAAUCACUGGGCGUAAAGGGCGCGUAGGUGGCACGGCAAGCGUGCGGUGAAAGCCCGGGGCUCAACUCCGGGUCGGCCGUGCGAACUGCCGUGCUGGAGCAUGGUAGAGGCAGGUGGAAUUCCGGGUGUAGCGGUGGAAUGCGUAGAGAUCCGGAAGAACACCGGUGGCGAAGGCGGCCUGCUGGGCCAUGGCUGACACUGAGGCGCGACAGCGUGGGGAGCAAACAGG